UAGGAAGAACACAGUGUCCCUUAGGAAAC
rnacentral:piRNA from 1 species